CCUACGGGUGGCUGCAGUGGGGAAUAUUGGACAAUGGGGGCAACCCUGAUCCAGCCAUGCCGCGUGUGUGAAGAAGGCCCUCGGGUUGUAAAGCACUUUCAGUGAGGAAGAACGCCUGGUGGUUAAUACCCAUCAGGAAAGACAUCACUCACAGAAGAAGCAUCGGCUAACUCCGUGCCAGCAGCCGCGGUAAUACGGAGGGUGCGAGCGUUAAUCGGAAUUACUGGGCGUAAAGCGCGCGUAGGUGGCUUGAUAAGCCGGUUGUGAAAGCCCCGGGCUCAACCUGGGAACGGCAUCCGGAACUGUCAAGCUAGAGUGCAGGAGAGGAAGGUAGAAUUCCCGGUGUAGCGGUGAAAUGCGUAGAGAUCGGGAGGAAUACCAGUGGCGAAGGCGGCCUUCUGGACUGACACUGACACUGAGGUGCGAAAGCGUGGGUAGCAAACAGGAUUAGAUACCCCUGUAGUC
rnacentral:rRNA from 1 species